rnacentral:tRNA from 1 species
GCCUUCGUGGUGUAGUGGUCAGCACUCUUGGCGCGUAUUCGAGAUGUCCGAAGUUUGACUCCCGGCGAGGGCA